UGUUACUUCUAAGUUCCCACGGCAUCUCUGCUUCCUCUGCUAGACAGAAAGCACAGAGGUGCUGAGAAACUUGAGGAUCAUCCUUCCAAUUCUCCCAGCAAGAUGUGAGCUGAAGGAGAGAGUGCAGGCCACGCUGGAAUCCGCACUGAAAAUGUUUGAAAUACAGUUCCUAGAUAAUCUCAACAUGCAAGGCAGGUAAUCUGGUGAGUUUUCCAUGUGUGUGUGUAUGUGUGUGUGUGUGUGUGUGUGUGUUUGUGUGUGUAUGCUUUAAAAAGAUUCACCAGGAGGCUUCUUUGAAGAGCUGGCCUCCCUUAAAAGGAACCUGAUAAACAAAAAUUUAAUUUGGACUCUCUUUGGUAAACACGACUCAUGCAAUCCAGCUCAGGCCAUGGGAUAAGGCACAGCAAGCUAAGAGAGUUUCUGUCCACAUUCGGUCAGUGUCAGCUCAUCUCACUGUUCUCCUGGGAGUGGAAGCAGUGUAGACAAACCAUAGUCUUGGACUCCUGCAGUCUGUCAACUGUUUAAAUGCUUUCCCAAAUAACAGAGAAAAAUGUUGUAUAUUUUUGAUUGCAUAAGAAACAGAUCUGAAUGCUGAAUUAAAAGGAAUUGAAAUGUUUAUAGUUUUAAUUGUCCAAAAUGCCUUUCAAUUAUACUUAAUCUUCACUCUAAUAAAAAAUUCAUUACAAAUCAACAUCAACACAAAAUUCCUCACUAAACCACUAUUUUUUAAAAAUCUGGGUAACCACUCUCUUCCAUUGCUGAAUGAUUAA